rnacentral:rRNA from 1 species
UUAAAGGUAUUGACGGAAGGGCACACCAGGAAUGGAUUUUGCGGCUUAAUUUGACUCAACGCGCGAAAGCUCACCCGAACCGGACACAGGAAGGAUUGACAGAUUAAGAGCUCUUUCUUGAUUCUGUGGGUGGUGGUGCAUGGCCGCUCUUAGUUAGUGGAGUGAUUUGUCUGGUUGAUUCCGGUAACUAACGAGGUUCCAACCUACUAAAUAGAUGUCCCGGUCCUCCCAGCCGGACAGUUCCUUCUUAGAGGGACAGGCAGCAUAGAGUUGCACGAAGCGGA